rnacentral:lncRNA from 1 species
UAUGUGCAUAGCUAACAUUUGUGUAUAUUUUAAUUAAGGUUGUAUGUCUUACCUACUAAGAGCCUCAUACCCCAAGAGAAAUCAAUGAGUCCCCUGCAGUGGUGUAGACACUUUUUGGAUCAUCCAACUCCUGAGAUAGAAGCCGCAAAACGUUCCCUGUGCUUUAGACUGGAACAAGCUAGCCGAUGGCGGAAUCUCUUCUCUACGCCUGUCUCCUUGGCUUUCCCUUAUAGUCCUGUUGCAAGACUGUCCCCAUAUAGCAAUGGCUUUAAUAGUCCCAACUUCUCUAAAACCUCGAAUAAAGCAAUACUAACACCUGAAAG